rnacentral:lncRNA from 1 species
UAUAAAAACUAGAGGCUCUAAAGAGCCUGUGUCGCUCACCUUGGUCUAUGUGAAUACUUAACAAAGGACACAGAUGGAUUCAUAACAAAAUUGUGUUUUUGUGAUGGUGAUAUGUUUGUAGAUCUUACUUUACUGAACAUUCUUGCUGCUUGCAAUUAUCUCUAUAAUGAACUUGGCCCAGUAGUUACAGUAGAUAAUGUUAGUGAAAAUUUACAAAUUUUAAAUUGUUAAAAAUUGACUAUAAAGGGCAAUAACUCCUUAAGGGGUCAAUUGACCUUUUUGGUCAUGAUGACUUAUUUAAGUUUUACUUUGCUGUACAUUAUUACUGUUUAUAGUUUAUCUCUAUCUAUAAUAAUAUUCAAGAUAAUAACCAAAACCAGCGAAAUUUCCUUAAUAUUACCAAUUCAGGGGCAGCAACCCAACAAUGGGUUGUCCGAUUCAUCUGAAAAUUUCAGGCCAGAUAGAUCUUGACCUGAUAAAUCAUUUAACCUCA